GGCGGUGUCAACGAGUCAGACCUCCUGGCCCGAGAGGGUUGGGUAAACUGGUCAAUCACCGUCAUGACAGGGAUCGGGGUUUGGAAUUGUUCCCCGUGAACGAGGAAUUCCUAGUAAGUGCAAGUCAUAAGCUUGCGCUGAUUACGUCCCUGCCCUUUGUACACACCGCCCGUCGCUACUACCGAUUGAAUGGUUUAGUAAGGUCCUUGGAUUGGCGCUAUUGCGGUGACACCGAGAGGUGGCUGCCCGACAGGCGCUGAGAAGACGACCGAAC
rnacentral:rRNA from 1 species